AUUGAACGCUGGCGGCAUGCCUUACACAUGCAAGUCGAACGGUAACGCGGGGCAACCUGGCGACGAGUGGCGAACGGGUGAGUAAUGCAUCGGAACGUGCCCAGUAGUGGGGGAUAGCCCGGCGAAAGCCGGAUUAAUACCGCAUACGACCUACGGGUGAAAGCGGGGGAUCGCAAGACCUCGCGCUAUUGGAGCGGCCGAUGUCAGAUUAGGUAGUUGGUGAGGUAAAGGCUCACCAAGCCUUCGAUCUGUAGCUGGUCUGAGAGGACGACCAGCCACACUGGGACUGAGACACGGCCCAGACUCCUACGGGAGGCAGCAGUGGGGAAUUUUGGACAAUGGGCGCAAGCCUGAUCCAGCCAUGCCGCGUGCGGGAAGAAGGCCU
rnacentral:rRNA from 1 species